UACCUACGGGGGGCAGCAGUGGGGGAUAUUGCACAAUGGGGGAAACCCUGAUGCAGCGACGGCGCGUGAGUGAAGAAGUAUUUCGGUAUGUAAAGCUCUAUCAGCAGGGAAGAAGAUGACAGUACCUGAGUAAGAAGCCCCGGCUAACUACGUGCCAGCAGCCGCGGUAAUACGUAGGGGGCAAGCGUUAUCCGGAUUUACUGGGUGUAAAGGGAGCGUAGACGGUUAUGUAAGUCUGGAGUGAAAGCCCGGGGCCCAACCCCGGGACUGCUUUGGAAACUGUGUAACU
rnacentral:rRNA from 1 species